UUACGAGGGCUCCUCCCUUCAUCUUUGGUCCCUCGGGGCGUCUGGGCAGCCUACGCUUUCCGACUGGAAUCAGCCAUUUUACCAAGAAAGUUGGGUUUCUUUUACUGGCAAAUAGUACUUCAAGAGCACAGUCUUAUGUGAGGUGUGGAGAUGCUUGUGUCUGGGACCUCCUGCCAUUUCUCAGGACACCAUCCUGCUCCUAGCUGGGAGAUUCAGCAUCCUCAUGAAUGCAGGGCCCAAGGCCACCAACUGUUCCACCUGCUGUCAGCCAGGCCUGUUGCCCCAGCCCUAUACCCACAGCUCACCCAGCAGGGACUGGAGUGUGCUGCUGCACUGCUGGAGCCGGUCGCCCGGGUCGGAGGUUGGGAAGAAGACAGCCGCUGGCAGGCCGCUGGUUGGGGGGUCCAGCCGGAAGCCCACAGCGGUGAGGAGGGCCUGCCAGCCAGGGAUGCCACCCACUUUGUUCUCCACACUCUGCUGGGACGUGUACAUGGCAUUGCGCUGCCCAUUCUGGAUGCGCUGCA
rnacentral:antisense_RNA from 1 species